rnacentral:rRNA from 1 species
UACGGAGGGGGCUAGCGUUGUUCGGAAUCAUUGGGCGUAAAGGGCGCGUAGGCGGCCGAUCAAGUCGGACGUGAAAUCCCUCGGCUCAACCGGGGAACUGCGUCUGAUACUGGAAGGCUUGAGUAUGGGAGAGGGAUGUAGAAUUCCAGGUGUAGCGGUGAAAUGCGUAGAUAUCUGGAGGAAUACCGGUGGCGAAGGCGGCAUCCUGGACCAUUACUGACGCUGAGGCGCGAAAGCUAGGGGAGCAAACGGG